rnacentral:rRNA from 1 species
GACAGAGGGUGCAAACGUUGUUCGGAAUUACUGGGCGUAAAGAGCUCGUAGGCGGUUUGUUGCGUCGGCUGUGAAAUCCCGAGGCUCAACCUCGGGUCUGCAGUCGAUACGAGCAAACUAGAGUGUUGCAGGGGAGACUGGAAUUCCUGGUGUAGCGGUGAAAUGCGCAGAUAUCAGGAGGAACACCGGUGGCGAAGGCGGGUCUCUGGGCAACAACUGACGCUGGAGGAGCGAAAGCGUGGGAGCGAACAGG